ACGGAGGAAGGGGAUUAUCAGGUAAAACUACGCAACCUGAUACGUUUCCUUAAUGAUGGGGACAAGGCCAAGGUAUCCCUGCGAUUCCGUGGUCGUGAGAUGGCUCACCAGGAGCUGGGCAUGGAGCUGUUGAAGCGGGUCGAGAACGACCUCGCGGAAUACGGCAGUGUCGAGCAAUUUCCUAAGCUGGAAGGACGCCAGCUGAUGAUGGUCAUCGCCCCCAAAAAGCGAAAAUAACCUCCAGGGCACUGGCAGGCCUUGUGGUUAUGUGUAUUGACUGAAUGCGGAGUAUCCGAACAUGCCAA
rnacentral:misc_RNA from 1 species